UGCCAGCAGCCGCGGUAAUACGAAGGGGGCUAGCGUUGUUCGGAAUUACUGGGCGUAAAGCGCGCGUAGGCGGAUUGUUAAGUCGGGGGUGAAAUCCCGGGGCUCAACCCCGGAACUGCCUCCGAUACUGGCAAUCUAGAGGAUGUGAGAGGAUAGUGGAAUUCCGAGUGUAGAGGUGAAAUUCGUAGAUAUUCGGAAGAACACCAGUGGCGAAGGCGACUGUCUGGCACAUUUCUGACGCUGAGGUGCGAAAGCGUGGGGAGCAAACAGGAUUAGAUA
rnacentral:rRNA from 1 species